rnacentral:tRNA from 1 species
AUGAGAUUAAGUUAAUUAGACUAAAUGUUUUCAAAACAUUAAGUGAUUUUUGGUCAUCUCAUG